rnacentral:rRNA from 1 species
UCUGGGACAAGCCCUGGAAACGGGGUCUAAUACCGGAUACUGACCCUCGCAGGCAUCUGCGAGGUUCGAAAGCUCCGGCGGUGCAGGAUGAGCCCGCGGCCUAUCAGCUUGUUGGUGAGGUAAUGGCUCACCAAGGCGACGACGGGUAGCCGGCCUGAGAGGGCGACCGGCCACACUGGGACUGAGACACGGCCCAGACUCCUACGGGAGGCAGCAGUGGGGAAUAUUGCACAAUGGGCGAAAGCCUGAUGCAGCGACGCCGCGUGAGGGAUGACGGCCUUCGGGUUGUAAACCUCUUUCAGCAGGGAAGAAGCGAAAGUGACGGUACCUGCAGAAGAAGCGCCGGCUAACUACGUGCCAGCAGCCGCGGUAAUACAUAGGGCGCAAGCGUUGUCCGGAAUUAUUGGGCGUAAAGAGCUCGUAGGCGGCUUGUCGCGUCGGUUGUGAAAGCCCGGGGCUUAACCCCGGGUCUGCAGUCGAUACGGGCAGGCUAGAGUUCGGUAGGGGAGAUCGGAAUUCCUGGUGUAGCGGUGAAAUGCGCAGAUAUCAGGAGGAACACCGGUGGCGAAGGCGGAUCUCUGGGCCGAUACUGACGCUGAGGAGCGAAAGCGUGGGGAGCGAACAGGAUUAGAUACCCUGGUAGUCCACGCCGUAAACGGUGGGCACUAGGUGUGGGCAACAUUCCACGUUGUCCGUGCCG